rnacentral:rRNA from 1 species
UACGGGGGGGGUAAGCGUUGUUCGGAAUUACUGGGCGUAAAGGGCUCGUAGGCGGCCAACUAAGUCAGACGUGAAAUCCCUCAGCUUAACUGGGGAACUGCGUCUGAUACUGGAUGGCUUGGAUUCGGGAGAGGAAUGCGGAAUUCCAGGUGUAGCGGUGAAAUGCGUAGAUAUCUGGAAGAACACCUGUGGCGAAGGCGGCUCUCUGGUACGUGACUGACGCUGAGACGCGAAAGCGUGGGGAGCGAACAGG